AGUACUUUCUUUCUUUCUUUUUUUCUGUACGUUAAUGUGAGUGUGCAUAUGUGCAUUUUAGUAAAUACCAAAAAUCAGUUUUUAAUGUGGAGUUUAGCAUUGUUAUGUUGAUGUGUGUCGGAGUACCGUAAAAAUUCUAUAGCUGCAUUUUGUAUGCUACAGUGUUCCCUAUAGAAGGGAUAUGUCCUUACUUAAAAAAAAAAAAAAAAAAAAAAAAUCCAUGUCCUGCUGUUGCUGAUGUCAACUGCCCAGUGACUCCAGAAGUUGCUUUCUGGAUAUCUUCUUUAUGGCAAGUGUUCAUGAGCCAUAUCAAAAUGCAGGAGACCGGAGAGAAAACAUACCUCUUUGAAAGCAGAAUGUCAGCUGGAGUGAGAGAAGGGUAAGAAUGAUUGAUAGUUGAAGAGCCUGCAAGACUGCAUUCGGGAAUGAAUGAGGACAUGAAUCUGAGUGCAUCACGUAUCGUGUUUGGCAAAUAAUCCAGGGGAACCCCUGGGCAAAAGAAUACCGAGUCCAUGAUUUGAAAAAUUAUCUUGAAUAAAAUGCAUUAGAUAGAGAAAAAGUAACUAAAUUAAAGUAUUUAGGUGAAAAUAUACCUUAUAUGAAAAACAGUUCUGAGUUAGGAAGCUAAGUAACUUGAAGAAGAUACUUCUGUGACAGAGAAAUUUAUACACACACAUAUACCUUAGAGCUAAACUGUCAAAUACAGCAGCCGCUGAGUACAUUUGCCUACUUAAAUUUAAAUUAAUUAAAAUAAAGUUCAAAAUUAAGUUUUUCAGCUUCAUUCAUCCUAUUUCAACUGUUAGACAGCCGCAUGUGGCUAAAGCCGCAUAGAACAUUUUUAUUAUUGCAGAAAGUUGUAUAAGAUAAGGCUGCUCUCGAAGAAUUUUUUUCUUAAUCAAGAAAGGCACAGAGUUCCCGUCGUGACGCAGCGGAAACGAAUCCAACUAGUAUCCAUGAGGAUGGGGGUUCCAUCCCUGGCCUCGCUCAGUGGGUUAAGGAUCUGGUGUUGCCUUGAGCUGUGGUGUAGGUUGCAGAUGCAGCUCGGAUCCCGUGUUGCUCUGCUGGCCUACACCACAGCCACAGCAAUGUGGGAUCCGAGCCAUGUCUUCCACCUACACCAUAGCUCACGGCAACGCCAGGUGCCUAACCCACUGAGCAGGGCGAGGGAUCAAACCCACAUCCUCAUACAUACUAGUUAGGUUCGUUACUGCUGAGCCAUGAUGGGAACGUCUAGAAUUACUGUAUCUUUUGCUCUCUAUUCACUUUCCUUGUGAAUUGCUUAUUAUUUGGUAUGCAGUUAAAGAACUAUAAUUUAGUUGAAAAACUGUUUUACUUCCUUUUAAAAGAGUUGUCUCUCUCAAGUGGAGGAUCCGGAAGAGGUUAGCUCAUUGUCUUUCUUCCAAAUAGCUACAUAUUCUAAGUUUUGUUCCGUCAAGGGAUUGACCUCACCUAAGGUGCCACCUCUGGGUAUCCAAUUAAAAAAAAAAAAAAA
rnacentral:lncRNA from 1 species